UGAGGAAUAUUGGUCAAUGGGCGAGAGCCUGAACCAGCCAAGUCGCGUGAAGGAAGACUGUCCUAUGGAUUGUAAACUUCUUUUGUACGGGAAUAAAGUGGGCUACGUGUAGCCUUUUGUAUGUACCGUACGAAUAAGGAUCGGCUAACUCCGUGCCAGCAGCCGCGGUAAUACGGAGGAUCCGAGCGUUAUCCGGAUUUAUUGGGUUUAAAGGGUGCGUAGGUGGAUUGAUAAGUCAGUGGUGAAAGUUUGCAGCUUAACUGUAAAAUUGCCGUUGAAACUGUCGGUCUUGAGUGCAAAUGAGGUAGGCGGAAUGCGUCGUGUAGCGGUGAAAUGCUUAGAUAUGACGCAGAACUCCGAUUGCGAAGGCAGCUUACUGGGAUGCAACUGACACUGAGGCACGAAAGCGUGGGUAUCAAACAGG
rnacentral:rRNA from 1 species